ACCUCGGUAGCUUAACGGUCGAAAGCAGUGGGGCGUAAACCUGAAGACCUGGAUUCGAAUUCCAGUCGAGUUUGUA